rnacentral:rRNA from 1 species
GGGGAAUAUUGGACAAUGGGCGCAAGCCUGAUCCAGCAAUGCCGCGUGUGUGAAGAAGGUUUUCGGAUCGUAAAGCACUUUCGGCGGGGACGAUGAUGACGGUACCCGCAGAAGAAGCCCCGGCUAACUUCGUGCCAGCAGCCGCGGUAAUACGAAGGGGGCUAGCGUUGCUCGGAAUUACUGGGCGUAAAGGGCGCGUAGGCGGCUUGGCCAGUCAGGCGUGAAAUUCCUGGGCUCAACCUGGGGACUGCGCUUGAUACUGCUGAGCUUGAGGCCGAGAGAGGGUGGUGGAAUUCCCAGUGUAGAGGUGAAAUUCGUAGAUAUUGGGAAGAACACCGGUGGCGAAGGCGACCACCUGGCUCGGUACUGACGCUGAGGCGCGACAGCGUGGGGAGCAAAC